UAGGAGUGUGAAGUAUUUCUUUGAGAAGCCCCAGGGAAUGUCUAUGUCAGUCUCUAUACCAGAAGGGUUUCCUAAAUCAUCGAACGCCAUCAUUUUGGUUCUGCUUUCAGUCAGCGAUUGAUCCCUUAGCUAUAGACGGAAGACUGCCAGAGAACACCUGAGAUUUGUGGAAGAAGACGUGCCUGGGUCCUUUUAAAGAAACUGACACUAUUUUCCCCAAGAAAAUAGUGAGCUAUCUUUAGACCCAAGUGAAUUCGAUUCUUAGGGUCAAACAAGAGCACAGCCAAAUACUAACGAUAUAAUUGUCCUCAUCAUCAUCUCGCAAAUUUUGGACACAUCAACACAUUUCAACAAAACGCAAUCAGAGUGAGGCGACUCACCUAAUCAACGGAAGCUAACAAGAAGAAUUUAGAAAUGCAGCCUUCUGAACACCAGCAGAGAACAAGAAGAGCUACAGCUCUGUAGGGAUUCGAGAAAAGAACAUUUGUUGACCAUUGGAAGCCACCCAUUUCUUUGCCUGUCGUCUAGGUAUUUUUUGUUUCAGGACUAGUCAUAUUUAGAACUUCUUGUGCAGUUUCCCAUGGAGAUUUUACUGCCGCUGAGGACGACCAUCAGAUAAAGGCAGCAGGACCAAAGUGUUUUAACAGGUGUUACGGACUCCGCAUGAAGUAGCUCUAGCCAGGAUUCACAGAAAUCUUCAGUGCAUCUAUGGUUUACUAGAAUCUCCCAGACCUUAGGCCCUGUCUUGUUCUUACAAGUCUCUCCUCCAAAAGAAUGAAUGUCUCUGCUCCUGAAAUCAAGCCCACGGCAUUCCAGGAAAAAAAAACAACAAAAAAACAAAAAACCCAGCAUCUGUAGAUAAACACAUUCAGAGAGAUUGUGAGUAGUUCAGCAUGACUAAAAUGAAGUGGAAAGAUCUGAGAAGAGUAAAAAAUAAAAUGAGGAAGCUACUAGAAGACGUACUCUAACAAAGAUGCAGAGGAAACCAAUUACAAAGACAAAAAUCCAGGAGACUGGGGAACCAACACUGGAGAAAGGGAGAACAAUUCUCAGGAUGGUGGUAAAGGCAAGAUUGGCAGCUUUGCAGGAGGCAGAAAAGAACAAUUAAUCCCACCUGGAGUGGGAGGAUGGAGAAAUUCCAGAAAGAUGUCUCCUCGAUUUCCCCAAAAUGAAACCAAUAGAUCAUCUGAUGUGGCUGUGUUAAAAA